GACGAACGCUGGCGGCGUGCUUAACACAUGCAAGUCGAACGGAAAGGCCCUGCUUUUGUGGGGUGCUCGAGUGGCGAACGGGUGAGUAACACGUGAGUAACCUGCCCUUGACUUUGGGAUAACUUCAGGAAACUGGGGCUAAUACCGGAUAGGAGCUCCUGCUGCAUGGUGGGGGUUGGAAAGUUUCGGCGGUUGGGGAUGGACUCGCGGCUUAUCAGCUUGUUGGUGGGGUAGUGGCUUACCAAGGCUUUGACGGGUAGCCGGCCUGAGAGGGUGACCGGCCACAUUGGGACUGAGAUACGGCCCAGACUCCUACGGGAGGCAGCAGUGGGGAAUAUUGCACAAUGGGAGGAAGCCUGAUGCAGCAACGCCGCGUGCGGGAUGACGGCCUUCGGGUUGUAAAACGCUUUCGCCUGUGACGAAGCGUGAGUGACGGUAAUGGGUAAAGAAGCACCGGCUAACUACGUG
rnacentral:rRNA from 1 species